CCUGACUCUGGGUUGUGGCGUGACCAUAACAGACAUCCAGUUUCAAAGCGGCCGAAAUCUCUAAGUAUUGUCCAGGUUAGGACAAACACUCCGAAAAUCCUUACACACUAGGUAAAGUCAAAGAGGAUUUCUUUGUGUUUUUUUAUUUGUUUGUUUGUUUUCCGAGACAGGGUUUCUCUGUGGCUUUGGAGGCUGACCUGGAACUAGCUCUUGGAGACCAGGCUGGUCUGGAAUUCACAGACAUCCACCUUCCUCUUCAAAGAUGAUUUCCAAAGAGAAUUUCCAAAGAUGUUCAAUCUGAUCCUUGCUGAGUUUGGCGGGCGGAGCCGGAGCCUGGAGACUCGAGGGACAGAGGGCGAGCCUAUCUAUCACUUCAAGAGAAUGUACUGAGUAUCUCAGCCAUCAAUGGUCACAUUCUUCUUUCUAAGCCGAAGAAUUUAAGAAAAGCAGCGCUCGAGAGAAAGGCCCCAUGCGGCAGGGUUCAAGCAGAAGACUGGCCACCCCUAACAGAAUGGUUCUCAGUUGCCAAGAAACAAGAUCUUUCUCGCCUCAGGGAAAAAAAAGCACUUUCAUGGAUGGCAAGCGCUUCCCCAUCGUAGCUGUAGGUCGGUACAACUCUGGUCUUCUGGGGAGAAGAGGUAACUUAAUCCAGACUCCAUGGCCUGCAGAGUUGCUGUCCAAGCCAGGUAAAAGCUGUUUCUGAAAGCUUCACUUCUGGUUGUGAGCAACUGGCUCGGCAGAGAUGGUUGUGCCAUCUAAUAAGUGGUGUCAUCGCUGAAGACACCAGUUAACAAUACUAUCAUUACAUUGUCAUCAGCUUGGAAAGGAGCAAAAUGGCCCUGCCAUGUCGACUGAUCAGAGGUAUUUAUAAUUGCAAAAGCAUCCAGGAAACAAUCUGAAAA
rnacentral:lncRNA from 1 species